rnacentral:sRNA from 1 species
AGUGUUUCAAAGUCUUCGGCCAUUUGUGCUCGCACAAAAAUGGACGUAAGACCUUGAAACGCGCCCCGGUAUGAGCAUAAAAGGUAAGUGAAACUUACCGAUAUGCGAAUAUCGGGCAGAAUUGCGGGAGUGCAACGCACGGAGCAAUUCGG